rnacentral:rRNA from 1 species
GCAGCGCAAGGGUGAGUAAUACAUGGCUAACAUACCCCAAACAUGAGAAUAACUAUUAGAAAUGAUAGCUAAUGCUCAAUAGUUUCUUAAGACCUCCUGGUCUAAAGAAUAAAGGUAGGGAUCCUUCGGGACCUUCCGGUUUGGGAGUGGGUCAUGGGCUAUCAGCUAGUUGGUGAGGUAAAGGCUCACCAAGGCUAAGACGGCUAGGCGAUCUGAGAGGAUGAUCGCCCACAUCGGGACUGAGACACUGCCCGGACUCCUACGGGAGGCUGCAGUCGAGAAUCUUCCGCAAUGGGCGCAAGCCUGACGGAGCGACGCCGCGUGAGGGACGAAGGCUUUAGGGUCGUAAACCUCUUUCGCUUGUUAAGAAAAGUGUAUGUUAAUAGCAUGCACCCUGACAAAGGCAAGUAAAGAAGCACCGGCUAAAUCCGUGCCAGCAGCCGCGGUAAUACGGAUGGUGCAAGCGUUACUCGGAAUCACUGGGCGUAAAGCGUUCGUAGGUGGUUUAUUAAGUUGGAUGUGUAAUCCCACGGCUUAACCGUGGAACUGCGUUCAAAACUGAUAAACUAGAGAGCAGUAGGGGACAAGGGAACUUCGGGUGGAGCGGUGAAAUGCGUAGAUAUCUGAAGGAACACCGAUGGCGAAAGCACUUGCCUGGGCUGAUUCUGACACUGAGGAACGAAAGCUAGGGUAGCGAACGGGAUUAGAUACCCCGGUAGUCCUAGCCGUAAACGAUGGAUACUAGC